UACGUAGGGUGCGAGCGUUAAUCGGAAUUACUGGGCGUAAAGCGUGCGCAGGCGGUUCGCUGUGUCCUGUGUGAAAAGCCCCGGGCUUAACCUGGGAAUGGCAUGGGAACUGGACGAGCUUGAGUGCGGCAGAGGGGGUGGAAUUCCGCGUGUAGCAGUGAAAUGCGUAGAGAUGCGGAGGAACACGAUGGCGAAGGCAGCCCCUGGGUCGACACUGACGCUCAGGCACGAAAGGCGUGGGGAGCAAACAGG
rnacentral:rRNA from 1 species